UUGUGGCGGGAGGUGGUGACACUUCGGCAGAGCCACGGUCAGCAGCACCGGGUCAUUGGCAAGCUGAUCCAGUGUCUCUUUGGGCCACUUCAGGCGGGGCCGAGCAAUGCAGGAGGCAAGAGAAAGCUGUCCCUGAUGCUGGAUGAGGGGAGCUCAUGCCCAACACCUGCCAAGUUCAACACCUGCCCUCUACCUGGUGCCCUUCUGCAGGACCCUUACUUCAUCCAGUCGGUAGGUUUGUCUUCUUCCCCCUUCCCAAGGGCAUGGCUGGGCUUAUGGAGAGCCUGUUCCUUCUCCCCAUCCCCUAAAAGGAAGAGAAGAUGGAAGCCAGCCUUCCCCCCAACCAGACCCAGGCCCUCCAGCAUGGACUGAGCCUCCUCCCUCAAACCU
rnacentral:sRNA from 1 species